rnacentral:rRNA from 1 species
GAUUUCUGGUUGGAUGUGCUUAGCCCGCCAUGGUUUCAUGUGUGAGUGCUGAUGCCUAUCUACCAUCCUUCUAAUUCCUCGCUUGCUCUUCAGUGAGUGGAGCGAGUGGAUUAGAUCUUUUACUUUGAAAAAAUUAGAGUGUUUCAAGCAGGCGUUUGCUAUGAAUACAUUAGCAUGGAAUAAUAAUUUAGGACUUCGGUUCUAUUUUGUUGGUUUCUAGAGCUGAAGUAAUGAUUGAUAGGGAUAGUUGGGGGUGCUAGUAUUCAGUGGCCAGAGGUGAAAUUCUCGGAUUCCCUGAAGACUAACUUAUGCGAAAGCAUU